rnacentral:rRNA from 1 species
CCCUUAGAUGUUCUGGGCCGCACGCGCGCUACACUGAUGCAUUCAACGAGUCUAAAACCUGCUCUGAUAGGGGUGGGUAAUCUUUUGAAUGUGCAUCGUGAUUGGGAUAGAUGAUUGCAAUGUUUCAUCUUCAACGAGGAAUGCCUAGUAAACGCAAGUCAUCAGCUUGCAUUGAUUACGUCCCUGCCCUUUGUACACACCGCCCGUCGCUCCUACCGAUUGAAUGAUCCGAUGAAUAUCAUGGAUUGAGGAUGCAAGCAGGUUCGCCUGUCUUCAUCUUCGAGAAGUGAAGUAAAUCUUAUCAUUUAGAGGAAGGAGAAGUCGUAACA